rnacentral:rRNA from 1 species
GACGAACGCUGGCGGCGUGCUUAACACAUGCAAGUCGAACGGUGACCCAGGGCUUGCCCUGGUGAUCGGUGGCGAACGGUGAGUAACACGUGGGCAACCUGCCCCUGACUUCGGGAUAACUCCUCGAAAGAGGAGCUAAUACCGGAUACGACCACUUCGGACAUCCGAUGGUGGUGGAAAGUUUUUCGGUCAAGGGAUGGGCCCGCGGCCUAUCAGCUAGUUGGUGGGGUAAUGGCCUACCAAGGCGACGACGGGUAGCCGGCCUGAGAGGGCGACCGGCCACACUGGGACUGAGACACGGCCCAGACUCCUACGGGAGGCAGCAGUGGGGAAUAUUGCGCAAUGGGCGAAAGCCUGACGCAGCGACGCCGCGUGAGGGAUGAAGGCCUCGGGUUGUAAACCUCUUACAGCAGGACGAAGCGAAAGUGACGGUACCUGCAGAAGAAGCACCGGCUAACUACGUGCCAGCAGCCGCGGUAAU